GAGGAAUAUUGGUCAAUGGCCGCAGGGCUGAACCAGCCAAGUCGCGUGAGGGAUGACGGUCCUAUGGAUUGUAAACCUCUUUUGUCAGGGAGCAAAGGGCGUCACGUGUGGCGUUUUGCGAGUACCUGAAGAGAAAGCAUCGGCUAACUCC
rnacentral:rRNA from 1 species